rnacentral:rRNA from 1 species
GACAGAGGGUGCAAACGUUGCUCGGAAUUACUGGGCGUAAAGCGCGUGUAGGCGGACUGGUGUGUCGGAUGUGAAAUCCCCAGGCUCAACCUGGGAACUGCAUUCGAAACUGCCAGCCUUGAGUGGUGGAGAGGGAAGUGGAAUUCCUGGUGUAGAGGUGAAAUUCGUAGAUAUCAGGAGGAACACCAGUGGCGAAGGCGGCUCACUGGCCCGGUACUGACGCUGAUAUACGAAAGCGUGGGGAGCAAACAGG